GCGGAGUCUUCGCUCUUCAACACCUUGGGGGAGAGUUUGUUCGUUCAUCGGUUGCAUUUGAAGAAGGCAACCUCCGAAGAGCAAGCUGGUACUUGUUGACCCCAUGUGUUAUCCUGACCACUAUAUCAAUGGAUAUUGAGAAGCAGGUUUUAUGUGAGGGACACUGCAUGGGGAUGUGGAGGAGGAAGUGUUCGCAUCUAUUGAAGUGACCAUCUUGUGGCUUCAACACAAAGUUUUAUUUUAAAUGCCUUUCUUUGGUUGGAACAUCUGAAGUUUUCUUUCAAGAACCCACUGGACAUUAGCAUCACUGUCAAGGCCAGGAUUUAUUGCCCAUCCCUUGUGACUUUUGAGAAAGUGGUGGUGAGCUACUUGAACCACUGGAGACAGUACCCCCUGAAGCUUCGUUAGAUGUGGAGUUUAUUGGCCCAAAAACACUGAAGUAUUGAUGAUAUACUUUCAAGGCAGAAUGCUGUGCACUUUGGUGAAAGCCUUGGAGAUCCUUUUGGCCAUUGGACUUGCUCCUGUAGGCGGUAAAGAUCCAGGCCGAGGUGCUGUCAAACUGAACGCUGAACAAUGGAUUAAUGUGAAAAGACCAAUUUUUGAAGGCAUCGGUAGGCCAGAGCAAUUAAUAUCCAAGUCAAGACAUAAGGUAUGGAUGCUUCAGCACACUGCUUUUGGAAUCAGGUUCAUGGGGGACACAUAGUAGUAAAACAGAUUGAGUGCAUGGAUAUGAUUAGUUCAAUUUAAAGCAAACUAUUGCUUGCAAAUAUUCUACUUAAGAUGGAUAAUUGGUUAUAUUUCUACAUUUAUGAUGUAAAUACAUUUUUGCAUAAAAACAUUGAAAAGUUUAAUUGGACACAGUGUCCCAUUAGAGAAAAUUAUGUGCUUGAUACUGUAGCUUGAUGUAGUAAAUCAGAAAAUCCAGUUGAGAAUUGCAGAUUGGCUCUGUUGUAAACUGGAUUGAUUGGUUUGACACUGAACCGUGCAGUAACAGACACUGGGUUAUGGCAAAUCUCCAGCAACCCAGUUCAUGAGUGUUCACCGUAAAUCUCAUGUGCUGUCUCAUUCCAGGUGUGCACAGGUGUUAUUAGAAAUAUGCAAUAAAAUUUAUGUUUGUAAAUACAACUCCAUCAAGA